rnacentral:rRNA from 1 species
AUGAAUGAAAGCUUCUGCCCGAUAAUGUCCUGGAACGUCCGCGGCCUAAACCAGCCGGCAAAAUGGACGGCGAUCUGCGAGGUAGUUGCAGCGCACAAAGCAACAAUCAUGUGCCUGCAGGAAACCAAGAUAGAUGUAUGGACACCCACCAUCGUCAAGGAAAUUGGUGGCGCCGCCCUGACUGAUUGUGUCGUCCUUCCUGCGAUCGGCUCUUGCGGCGGCGCGGCGAUCUUCCGGAACACCGAUCUAGUUAGCAUUGCUUCCCACGCCAUAGGCGAAUUCACGAUCACUGCCAAGGUGACGCUUCUCCGGCAAUCCAAAAGUUUCUGGCUUUCCACA